rnacentral:rRNA from 1 species
UACGAAGGGGGCUAGCGUUGCUCGGAAUGACUGGGCGUAAAGGGCGCGUAGGCGGUCACGCACGUCCGUUGUGAAAUCGCUCGGCUCAACUGGGCGGGGUCAGCGGAUACGGCGUGGCUGGAGCAAGCUAGGGGGCAAUGGAAUUCCCGGUGUAGUGGUGGAAUGCGUAGAUAUCGGGAGGAACACCAGUGGCGAAGGCGGUUGCCUGGAGCUUUGCUGACGCUGAUGCGCGAAAGCGUGGGGAGCGAUCCGG